UGUUUAUGUUUCUGUUAUGUCUCCUCCCCGUUCUGUCAUUGGCUAUUGUUUCACGUGUGUCUGAAUCGCCCUCAGCCGUCAGCCAUUACGAGGCUGAUUAUGUUUGUACAUAUACCGCGCGCCUCCCAGCACACGGCGCGGGAUAUUGAAGUCACUUAGUUUAGAGUGCUCGCGAUAGGUAACCGUAGUCGGUUCAUGGUUCAUGGUUCAUGGUUCAUGGUUCAUGGUUCAUGGUUCAUGGUUCAUGGUUCAUGGUUCAUCAGGCCUGCGCUAUUGUUCAUGUUUCUUGUUUUGUUCCUCGGCCCUGUAUUUCCGUGACCGCGACCUUGAUUCCUGCCUCGCCUCUUUAUGCCUGUUUGCCGAUCGCCUGAACUUUGCAUGUUACUGGAUUACGUUUGUGGAUCACGUUUCGGAUUUGUCUGCCUGUCUCUCUCUUAAAUAAACCUGUUCUACUGCAAUUGCAUCCUACCUUAUCUCCGUUACGUCACGAUACGUGACAAACAUUAAAAAUCAUGCGUAAGCGAGAUAUAUAUGGAGGUGUUUAACUUUGUUGUUUUUUAAUAAGUUAACAUUGUGAUUGCUUGCAAAUUACUGUGGGAUUCGAGUUCGAUGUUCGAUGGAGUAAGACGCGAAGUUGGAGUCUCCUGCUGACUUCGAUUAAAAUGUUAGUGUGUCAUGAGUUGAUUCCGGGUGGAAAGACCAUUUCUGUUACUAAUGAAAACAAGAUCAGCUACAUCAACCUGAUGGCACAUUUCCGGAUGCACACCCAGAUAAAGGAGCAGACGGGGGCGUUUAUCCGCGGUUUCCGCAGCAUCAUCAACCCCGAGUGGCUGCACAUGUUCUCCACCCCUGAGGUGCAGCGGCUCAUCUCCGGGGACAACGCCGAGAUCGAUCUGGACGACCUCAAAAAGCACACUGUGUACUACGGCGGCUUUCACAGCAGCCACAGGGUGAUAAUCUGGCUGUGGGACAUCCUGUCCAGUGACUUCACUCCUGAAGAGAGGGCCAUGUUCUUCACCAUACGCAAGAAGGAACCAGGCGGCCGUCUGCCCACCUCCUCCACCUGCUUCAGCCUGCUCAAACUGCCCAAUUACAGCAAGAAGAGCAUCCUCAGAGACAAACUGCGCUACGCCAUCAGCAUGAACACGGGCUUCGAGCUCUCCUAACACACACCUCUACAUCCUCACACACACACACACACACACUCACCCAGAGACAGAGCUCAUUCAGAAACCAGCAAUGACGAAAAGGAAGCAUAUAUCGAACGAGCUUCCUGAGUUUCUGGGCAUGUUCAGAGAUGAGAGACAUGAACUGCAGCAGCACAGGGAUUAGUCAGAACGUGUUCACUGCGUACAGACAGACAGACACACACACACACACACACACACACUCUGAAUGGAAAAGGCGAGACCUCUGUCCUACUCAGCAUCUAAAGCCAAAGGAUCUCUACUGGCCUUAUUCACUUCCUCCUGGAGUGUGAAACUCGAUCAAACCCCUCAGCAGAUCUUACUCCUGCUUACACUUCAGUUUCAGAGUACCGUUCUGUCUCUCUUUGUUUCUCAUCACUUGCACUCCUGGACCUUCACUUCUCAUGAGGAUUGGGACGGAACCCCUCACAGCCGAGGGUGUGUCUGGACUCUCUCUCACGCUCUACAACGGAAAGCAAUACGGAUGCAACACAAAGCCAUGAAACACACCACAUGAAGGAAACACCAGCUGGCGUGUUCCUGAAGCGUUACUCAGACUUUUAUGUAGAUUAAAACACGCAGCUGUUUGGAUCACUGCUCUUGGUUCAGAUUGUGGCUCCACGGGAAAGAUCUAGAAGAACAAAUUUCCAUGUUUCGUCACGUUCCCUAAUACACACUACAGGAAGAGAGAGGGUAUUUAAGUGACUUUUUUUGCACAUUAUUUAAAUCAAAGCAGGCUGCCUAGAGAAGUGUGUUGGAUUCAUUUAACAGAUUUUAUUGUUCUGAAAUCGAGACGCGUUCACUAACUGUAAAUGUACAGUGAGCUGAGAGCGACUGAAUGGUUUGUUAUUAAAUCCCCAUCAUCACGACCUGACGGAAGACCGCACUGAGGAUCUGUAGGGCCGUGCUGCACAAACCCCCAGCAGCAGGAAACUAAACCCAGUGAAGUCUUAAACAAGCAGGUGUAGCUCCAGGCACGUACAUCCAUGUUUUUGUGUUUAAUAAUUUUAACAUGAAACAGUAGACACACACACACACACAUUGGUCUGCCGUGGUUUCAGAGUGUUACACUGGAAACAAGCCAUAUAGAAGAUGACGACGAGUCUUAAACCAGCUCAGAGACUGGACUCUAAAGGACUCUGAAGUUCUCCUCUUGCAUGAUGUCACUGGAUGAUUCAAAACUCUGGUCCUGUCACUAAAUAAAAAAUGAGGGCAUUCUGGGUUUUUCCUUCUCUCUCUCUCUCUCUCUCUCUCUCUCUCUCUCUCUCUCUCUCUCUCUCUCUCUCUCUCUCUCAAGAUUUCACAAAGCAUCUAAAUGAUUAAUUAGACGUGGUCUUAAACGCGGUCCAGUACGCGGGUGUUGGUGCAUGAGCAUGUUAAAGAACUGAUGAUGAGAGUUUUGUAAAAGGCUGAAGCGUAUUUGCAGGAGCGUAAUGUUUUUGUAUGCGAUGCUUUCCCCAGUCAUUGUGCAGUGUGUGUUAGAAUCUUGUACUUCAGCUGUUCCUGCACUGCUUUUUCAUCACUACAUCGUACACGUCCUCCUCUUUUAAUCACCGCUCUCAGUGUCUGUUAUUCAGAUAACAGUGGUGGAACGGGACUGAUCUGGAGCAGACGGGUCCAGUUCUAACUUGCUGCAUGAAGGGUUUAAUGUGGGGUGUAGUGAAAGGUUCCAGGUUUGGGAAUCACCGCGCUGGUUCUGACUGGCUUUGAGAAGGUCUGUGUUCUGCACUCAUCUGUCUGAAUUCUUCCUGUUUUGUGCUUCUGUAUGUGUGAAUCUCAUCAUCCUUUCAGCAGGACCGAGCUGAGCCAUGCUGCUGAUCCUAACGAGCUGAACACAAGGGCUUUGGACUGCAUUUUUGAUCCAGAUGGACUGGUGUGUGUCUGGUGAUUGAACAUUUCAUGCAAAACACACUGUAAAGAACGAUUGUAAAAGCUGAAGAUUUUGGACCGAGCGUGACUGAUGAUCUUCAGACCCUAAUGAUGUCAUAAAAAAAAAUUUUCCCCUCCUUUAAAAUAUUUCAGUCUUCUUCAUCCCUGGUUCUGCGCUGGAGGAUGUUUUUGAACUCGGUUACGCUACAGAAACAGAAGGUCACUAUAGGAAUGAAGAAAGCCGUGUCAUUGUAAAGUUCUGUAGUAAUAUUUCUGUAAAAUGUAAACUUAAUCAGUUCAGUCAUG